rnacentral:rRNA from 1 species
CAGCAGCCGCGGUAAUACGGGGGGUGCAAGCGUUACUCGGAAUCACUGGGCGUAAAGAGCAUGUAGGCGGAUUAAUAAGUUUGAAGUGAAAUCCUAUAGCUUAACUAUAGAACUGCUUUGAAAACUGUUAAUCUAGAAUGUGGGAGAGGUAGAUGGAAUUUCUGGUGUAGGGGUAAAAUCCGUAGAGAUCAGAAGGAAUACCGAUUGCGAAGGCGAUCUACUGGAACAUUAUUGACGCUGAGAUGCGAAAGCGUGGGGAGCAAACAGGAUUAGAUACCCUGGUAGUCCACGCCCUAAACGAUGUACACUAGUUGUUGUGAGACUUGAUCUUGCAGUAAUGCAGUUAACACAUUAAGUGUACCGCCUGGGGAGUACGGUCGCAAGAUUAAAACUCAAAGGAAUAGACGGGGACCCGCACAAGCGGUGGAGCAUGUGGUUUAAUUCGACGAUACACGAAGAACCUUACCUGGACUUGACAUAGUAAGAACUUUCUAGAGAUAGAUUGGUGUCUGCUUGCAGAAACUUAUAUACAGGUGCUGCACGGCUGUCGUCAGCUCGCGUCGUGAGAUGUUGGGUUAAGUCCCGCAACGAGCGCAACCCUCGUGUUUAGUUGCUAACAGUUCGGCUGAGAACUCUAAACAGACUGCCUACGCAAGUAGGAGGAAGGUGAGGACGACGUCAAGUCAUCAUGGCCCUUACGUCCAGGGCUACACACGUGCUACAAUGGGAUAUACAAAGAGCGGCAAUACGGUGACGUGGAGCAAAUCUUAUAAAAUAUCUCCCAGUUCGGAUUGUAGUCUGCAACUCGACUACAUGAAGUUGGAAUCGCUAGUAAUCGUAGAUCAGCUAUGCUACGGUGAAUACGUUCCCGGGUCUUGUACUCACCGCCCGUCACACCAUGGGAGUCGAACUCAUUCGAAGCGGGGAUGCUAAAAUAGCUACCUUCCACAGUGGAUUUGGCGACUGGGGUGAAGUCGUAACAAGGUAGCCGU